GAUGAACGCUGGCGGCGUGCUUAACACAUGCAAGUCGAACGAGAAGUGGCGACGGAAACCUUCGGGCGGAAGACUUUAUUUCGAGUUGCGGCCGGGUUAGUAACGCGUGGGUAUCCUGCUUCCUUCAGGGGGCUAACAGUUGUACACGACUGUUAAUACCGCAUAAGACUACAGCACCGCAUGGUGCGGGGGUAAAAACUCCGGUGGGAUGAGAUGGACCCGCGUUCGAUUUGCCAGCUGGCGGGGUAACGGCCCACCAACGCGGCGAUCGAUAGCCGAGCGGGGAGGAGGACCGGCCACAAUGGGACUGAGGCACGGCCCAAACUCCGACGGGAGGCAGCAGUGGAGAAUAUUGCACAAUGGAGGAAACCCUGAUGCAGCGACGCCGCGUGAGUGAAGAAGUAGGUCGGUAUGUAAAGCUCUAUCAGCAGAGAAGAGAAUGACGGUACCGGGGAAAGAAGCCCCGGCUAACUACGUG
rnacentral:rRNA from 1 species